UACGAAGGGUGCAAGCGUUACUCGGAAUUACUGGGCAUAAAGCGUGCGUAGGUGGUUGUUUAAGUCUGUCGUGAAAGCCCUGGGCUCAACCUGGGAACUGCGAUGGAAACUGGGCAACUAGAGUGUGGUAGAGGGUAGCGGAAUUCCUGGUGUAGCAGUGAAAUGCGUAGAUAUCAGGAGGAACAUCCAUGGCGAAGGCAGCUACCUGGGCCAACACUGACACUGAGGCACGAAAGCGUGGGGAGCAAACAGG
rnacentral:rRNA from 1 species